AAUGGGCGCAAGCCUGAUCCAGCAAUACCGCGUGUGUGAAGAAGGCUCUAGGGUCGUAAAGCACUUUCAGUAGGGAGGAAAGGGAUGUAGUUAAUACCUGCAUUCUGUGACGUUACCUACAGAAGAAGCACCGGCUAACUCCGUGCCAGCAGCCGCGGUAAUACGGAGGGUGCAAGCGUUAAUCGGAAUUACUGGGCGUAAAGCGCGCGUAGGCGGAUUGUUAAGUCUCUUGUGAAAGCCCUGGGCUCAACCUGGGAACUGCAUGGGAUACUGGCAAUCUAGAAUACAGUAGAGGGUAGUGGAAUUUCAGGUGUAGCGGUGAAAUGCGUAGAGAUCUGAAGGAACAUCCGUGGCGGAGGCGACUACCUGGACUGAUAUUGACGCUGAGGUGCGAAAGCGUGGGGAGCUAACGGGAUU
rnacentral:rRNA from 1 species